UACGUAGGGUGCGAGCGUUAAUCGGAAUUACUGGGCGUAAAGGGUGCGCAGGCGGUUAUAUAAGACAGAUGUGAAAUCCCCGGGCUCAACCUGGGAACUGCAUUUGUGACUGCAUCGCUGGAGUACGGCAGAGGGGGAUGGAAUUCCGCGUGUAGCAGUGAAAUGCGUAGAUAUGCGGAGGAACACCGAUGGCGAAGGCAGUGUCCUGGGAAGUACCUGACGCUCAGGUGCGAAAGCUAGGGGAGCGAACAGG
rnacentral:rRNA from 1 species